rnacentral:lncRNA from 1 species
UCAAUUUGAUCGUGCAGUAUUUUAACUUUAAAUCAAAUUUUAAUAUCAUCAAUAUAAUAAAUUUCAGUUGGUGAAGCAUGUUCUUAACUAGCUAAUCCAUUUCUUAUAUUCGUUAUCCUACAACAUGAAUAGUUUUAUACAGUCUUCUUUAAAAAUAAUUUUCACGUCAUGACGUCUCAGUAUCUUUGAUGAUCAGUGCUACCAUAUAAUCGAUUUUUAUCAGACUGGCGCAAUAUUGAGAAAAAGUAUCCCUGCUAUUUCUUUGCUGUUAUCACCUCACAAAUGUGUGUACUAUCUAGUGCUGGGUUUCGAUCUGGAAAUUGGGAUUCGUCUGUGAACAUUACAACUUUGUUGGAUCUUACUAAUUCGUAGAAUUCCGGUUUGGAUGUAUCGUAUAUAAAAUUUUGUCUUAAUUUAUCUUUAAGGAUUAAUUGUUGAUGACACCAAUUUAUAAAAAAAUAGCUUCUUUUUUCUGAAGUACAACAAUAAGUAUUUCUAUCCUCAGGCAAUUGUGUUUUUGUAUCUCUAAACAAGGAAUGAUUUGCUGAUCUCAGCUGAUAUCUCUGUUGUUCAGCCUAUCAUGAUAACAAACAAAUCCAAGCUCCUUUACGUGUCUGAGCAUGAUCAGCAGCAAUGGAAAUGUCUUGCCCCCUAAAUUUUCAAUUCAGGAUAGAAAGAUGAGGUCUACUGUAAUGUUCUUAACAACACCGUGAUCCUAUGGAUCAAUCAUGUUGCUUCAGCAUACACAUUCCAGCAGGACUCAUCCAUUGUCCACACAGCCAAGAGGAGGUUGACAUUGCCGCAGGCAAGUGUACUCCAUUGUUGGCUACCUCAAGAAUGGCCUUUAACAACAUCUUGUUCUAACCCUCACAAAAAUGUGGAAACUCUCAUGGGCAACAUUAAAAAAGUUACAACAAACUUGGACGGAGAUUUUGGGACUAAAAGAGGUUCUGGGACAAGAUUAAAAAAUGAAUCAAGAUGCAGUGUGGUCACAUUGAAUAAAAAUAUAUUUUUCCUUGUCUCAGCUUUAAUAGUUAAUUAAUAAUAAAAUCGUAUAACAAA